AGGAUAAUAGUUUAUAAUAAACAUUUAAAUUGCAAUUAAAAAAUAUUGAAAUAAUCAAUUUAUCUUU
rnacentral:tRNA from 1 species